rnacentral:rRNA from 1 species
CCUACGGGUGGCAGCAGUGAGGAAUAUUGGUCAAUGGGCGCGAGCCUGAACCAGCCAAGUAGCGUGAAUGAUGACUGCCCUACGGGUUUUAAACUUCUUUUAUAAAGGAAUAAAGUGAGGCACGUCUGCCUUUUUGUAUUUACUUUAUGAAUAAGGAUCGGCUAACUCCGUGCCAGCAGCCGCGGUAAUACGGAGGAUCCGAGCGUUGUCCGGAUUUAUUGGGUUUAAGGGGAGCGUAGAUGGGUUUUUAAGUCAGUUGUGAAAGUUUGCGGCUUAACCGUAAAAUUGCAAUUGAUACUGGCAGUCUUGAGUACAGUUGAGGUAGGCGGAAUUCGUGGUGUAGCGGUGGAAUGCUUAGAUAUCACGAAGAACUCCGAUUGCGAAGGCAGCUUACUAAACUGCCACUGACAUUGAUGCUCGAAAGUGUGGGUAUCAAACAGGAUUAGAUACCCCAGUAGUC